rnacentral:rRNA from 1 species
UAAGGAAUAUUGGUCAAUGGAGGCAACUCUGAACCAGCCAUGCCGCGUGAAGGAUGAAGGUCCUCUGGAUUGUAAACUUCUUUUAUGUGGGAAGAAAUGCAUUCUUUAUAGAGUGUUUGACGGUACCAUAGGAAUAAGCACCGGCUAACUCCGUGCCAGCAGCCGCGGUAAUACGGAGGGUGCAAGCGUUAUCCGGAUUCACUGGGUUUAAAGGGUGCGUAGGUGGGUUUGUAAGUCAGUGGUGAAAUCUCCGUGCUUAACAUGGAAACUGCCAUUGAUACUAUGAGUCUUGAAUUUUCCGGAGGUUAGCGGAAUAUGUCAUGUAGCGGUGAAAUGCUUAGAUAUGACAUAGAACACCAAUUGCGAAGGCAGCUAACUACAGGGACAUUGACACUGAUGCACGAAAGCGUGGGGAUCAAACAG